GGUGCACAGGCCGGUCUGUGCGGAGCGCGGAGUAGGUCUGGGAGUCUAACCGAUUCCUAAAUAGGCUUUGAACCGCUCCUUCUGGUUUUAGCGUGUCCACCUCUUUGCCACAGGUAUCUGGUGCUGCCAAUUCCAGAGCCUUUAGGGAUUCUGCUCAAUUUCUCAAAUUUCCCCAGUGCUGGCUUAGGAUUCAAUGUUCCCAUGUCUGCUGCAUCAUUGGUCACAUUUCUUAUUUUCCAGCUGUUAAAAUUUUGUUGCUAUGGGGAGUUAAAAAAAAAACUUUUUGUUGCUAUUUUUCCUUCCCUUUAAAAAAAUUCACUUACAGGGCCAGCCCCGUGGCUAAGUUCACACGCUCCGCUUUGGAAGCCCAGGGUUUUGCCAGUUCAGAUCCUGGGUGGAGACCUAGCACCACUCAUCAGGCCAUGCUGAGGCGGCGUCCCACACAGCACGAGCAGAGGCACUCACAACUGCAAUAUACACCUAUUUACUGGGGGGCUUUGGGAAAAAGAAGGAAAAAUUUUAAAAAAAUAAUAAUGAUUUUAAAAGUUAACUUCCUUGUUAAAAAAAUUCAUUUACCAUCAUUUUAGUGAGAUUUCAGGAAAAGAGAAAAGAAGAGAUGUGUGCAUGCUGAAUCCUCUCUGUUUACCUGGAAGAUUUACUUCUCACAUUUACCUUUUUCUAUUAUUUCAUUUUUUUAAUCCAUGUUUGCUCACUAGUUAUUAUUCAUUGUUUUCCUUUCCAAGUUACGACAAUUUAGUUGCUUUUUUCAAAGCAGCUAUAAGAGGAUAGCGCAUAGGAACAAUGAAAUAAUCAUCAGCCUUUUUAAGGCUUUGCGAGCUUCCAGUGCUGAUCUGUGUAGUAGGGGCAUGUACAUGCAUGUGUAUUUGCCAAGAGACAGCCGCAGCCUACCUGGGGGAGAUCAUAUACCCACAAAUGAUGACACAAGACCAGGAGAUAGCAAUACCCCUCCAAGAAGGAGAUAAAGUUGGUCAAAAUGAGUCAUGGUCAGGAGUGUGAAAUUUCCCCAGCCGUUACUUCUGCCUGGAGAAGAAUUUCCAAUUUGCUUAAACACUUGUCUAUCCCGCUCAUGGAGAAUUCUCUGAAGGAGCCGUCUCCAAAUUGUUUGAUUGACAUUCUUAUAAGAAAAGCAUUUUUAACACACUCUCAAAUAGGCAAAUUUAUUUACUUGCAAAUUAUACAUGUCUUACUCUAUCAAUAUUAUCCAUGGUAUUAAUACACAUACAAGUAGAGAUUUUUAAAGGAUGCAAUAGAAAAUAAAUAGAAUUAGAAGUUCUAAUAUUUUCCUUCAGCACCCCAGCAAAUCACCUUGCACAUCACAGAAUUCUCAAGCAGGCUGAGCAUCAGAGCACCUGCGAAGGUUUUUCAAAGUCCUGCCCCGGGCCUACCUGGCAUAUGAAUCAGAACUUCUGAGGGUGGGACCCUGGCAAGGGCGUUUUGAAAAAGUUUCCCCACUGAGUCCCAUGUGCACCUCUGGUUAAGAAAUACAACUCCAAAGAUUUCAAAAUUAGAGCCCUUGAAAAAGUAUAAAUAGUAGUCAAAUGGCUACCCAAGUGCAAAAAGCAGGCUAAUGAUACUGGGAGAUUCUGAGCUUGAUUAAAUAUCUGGAAUGUCACAUACCUCAAAAAAUUCUGUCUCCUUCCCACAACUCCAUAUUUUUCUUCCUCUAUAUCUGUCCUUUCUCUUUACUUCUUAGGAUAAAUUUAACUUUUCUGUUAUAACAAAUAGGUAUUCAAUGUAGAAAAUAUAGAUAAGCAAAAAGAAGAAAAUAAAAGCUCAUCUAUAAUUCUACCAUUCCAAGAAAACACUUAAAGUUUUUAUUUAUAGCCUUCCAGAUAUUUAUGGCAACACAUGCUUAAAAUGGGAUCAUAGGGGCCAGCCCGGUGGCGCAGGGGUUAAGUGCACACAUUCCGCUUCAGCGGCCGAGGGUUGGCUAGUUCGGAUCCCGCGUGCGGACAAGGCACCACUUGGCAAGCCAUGCUGUGGCAGGCAUCCCACAUAGAAAGUAGAGGAAGAUAGGCACGGAUGUGAGCUCAGGGCCAGUCUUCCUCAGCAAAAAGAGGAGGAUUGGCAGCAGAUGUUAGCUCAGGACUAAUCUUCCUCAAAAAGUAAGGGGGGGAGGAUCAUACUGUACAUGCUCUUUUAAACAUUUUCACUCGGUAAUUAUUUUUUUUCCAGGACAACAAGAAUGAAAGCUCCAAUAGAGCAGUGGACAGUGGUGGGACAGCUGAUCCGCGUGCACAGAGCAGGUAGUCAGAAGCCCCCUGAGUGCAGCUGAACAGCUGGGUCCUCCAACUAAUAUUCUCUCCCUUCCCCUUCUGAUCCUUCCUUAUUUUGCGUCUCUUGUUCUGAUUGCUUUCUACAUGCCCUUUCUCUUUUCUUUUACUUUCUCCCCUCAUCUCUCUUCACUAAAGCAACCGAGCAAGGCUUUCAGGACAAGGGUUAAUAUUUGACAGAAUGAAACUUCCCGAUAAUUUGACAAGGGAUGCCUAACCAGGAAGCUGAAGAGACAGCUGCACCCUUCUCUGCAAAGAGGAUCUUCUGAGCAAGCCCAGAAGCAAAGUUCGGCCAGAGGCAGCCUGGGGUGCCCAGGUUGUCCGAGAAGAGCCAUUUGAGGGAAAUUGCAUUUCUGGAAUUGAAACCAAGGGAGGUGGAACUGCAGUCGACACAAGGCAAGGACUGAGAAGGAGGCCGGGAUGACAAUCCAGAACAAACCAGCCACAGCACUCCCACUUGGAGAAUAAUCAGUUUCCCCAGUGGUGUUAUAAAACCGGUUGCAAAAAACCAGUUCCUCUUGCUUUAGGUGGCAAGGAUCUUCCGAGUGCUGGUUACCCUCUCACAGCUUUUCAACCUGCUGCCAAAGAAAUUUCCAUCUGUAGUUAUUAAUCCACUGGUAUUGAGGAAAGUUCCUGAACUUUGAAAGCUUGUUUGGGCUGGUAUGAAAGAAAAUAAGCACUUUCCACCACAGCAGAGCCAAACUGUGCUUUCUAGAGGCUGUGGAAAAUUGUUUUCAUUAAACGCAAAUCAUUGCCCCCCAAACCAAUGUUCUUGGGGAUGAAAUUGUCUUUGGCUCCAUUAACUCUGAGAGGCUACAUUAGCCAGUUCUCUAACGGCACUCUGCUAUGGAAGGUUCUAGAAAAUGAAUAGAAAGUGAAUCACUUUCCACUCGCACCCCCAGUACCAACCCCUCACCCCAGCAGCAGCUUACCCCUUAUCAGUUGGAAAGGGGGUGGGGUGGGGGAUGUAGCAUGACUGUGCUUAUACUAUGAAGAUGCUGGGGUGGGGUUGGGGGGACAGCAAUUAAAUGCUGCAACUGGGGUGUUAGUCACAGUGGGUGGGACUCUCCCUGUCAUCCUGCAGAAGCAGAGCCAGAGAAGCUGAUGAUAGCUGAAGAGAGGGAGGGCCCCCCGCGCAACCUCUCUCUUUUCCCAGCAACAGCUGCUUCAUAAGCAGCACUUAGCAUAUGUACAAGGUCGUAAAAGAGGUGAGAAACAGGGAAACAGUAUUUUGACACAAACUUGUCCAGAGAGGAUCUCUUAUAGGAAGAACAUCUCUGGCCUAUAGCAGAAUUGAAACUAAAUUAAAAAAAUUUUUUUUUUUCUUCUUUGAGAAAGACUGGAAAAUUCUUUGCUUCCUCCAGGGAAACAAAUCUUUACUUGAGGUGGCACCUGAAAUUUCACCAUUAAUGAUAUAGUCCUUUGUGUAUUGCAGGCAACCUGGCAUCUAAGAGACCUAUAUAAAAAUGCAGAUACGUCAUAUAAGGCCAGCCAGCGAUUCUCACUGGAAUCAGAAUCCUUCAGAAGACCUUUACAUGCAGACUGCUGGCAUACACACACAUACUCCAUCCCCUGAGCCCUACUACAACCGCGACCUUUAGUCACUAGGUGGGUCUCCAGUUCUCUGAUGUGUUAGUCAUCACAGGCUGAUAUAGCAAAAUACCAUGGACUGGGUGACUUAAACAACAAACAUUUAAUUCUAUAGUUCUGAAGGGUGGAAGUCCAAGAUCCAGGUGCCAGGAGCUUCGGCUUCUGGUGAGAGCCCUUUCUGGCUUUCAAAUGACCACCUUCUUGCUGUAUCCUCAUACAACCUUUCCUUGGUGCAUGCACGGGAAGAGAGCAGCAUCUCUCAGCCUUCCUCCUCCUGUAAAGACACUUUUCCCAUCAAGAAGGUCCCAUCCUCACGACCUCAUCUACACCUAAUUACAUCCCAAAGGCCCCAUGUCCAAAUACCAUCACACUGGGGUUAGGGCUGCAACAUACGAAUUUGAGGAGGGGACACAAACCUUCAGACCAUAACAUCUGGCUUCUGACAGGACCUUGGCGUAGUUAACUUUAGAUCUUACUUUCGCAGGUUAGAAAUUGAUUUCCACUGUGGAUGAUGAUUUGAUUGCCUCAAUCAGAACUGACCCUCUAUAGUUAAGGAAGAAAUCAAUGGAAAAUUGGAAAUAGUUUUUUUUUUUUUAAUUUUGACACUUCAAAGGGGACUAUAUAGAAGAGUCAACACUGUCACUUUCCUCCCCUGAAUCCACGGCCCCCUCCAGUAUCCUAUCUCUUUCUUUUCUCCCUACGUUCUCUAUUGGUACAUUCCCUUUCUUCUCCUCCUCUUUAAGAAGGAAACAUAUUAGGAAUGUGGGUUGUGUUUGUGUUACCCUUGCUUAAUCAUUUCGUACUUUCUUUACAUAACAUGGGCUUAAUAUUUUACUUCGGGAUGUGGUUAUUUCAGUGUGUUGACCUUCUUUACUUGAUGCAUCAGUGGCUGUGAUGGGAAAAAAGGUCCUUACACCUGUCUCAUGACCUUAAGAGUGGAGGAAUCAUUCAUCAGGUGCUGAGGCCACAGGACCACUUAGAAAGUGUGAGAGGGGAGUAGGGGGUGAGCUGGGAGUUUGAAAAAACAAGACCAAGGACAAGAUUUCCCUACCUCCCAGAUUUGCAAAGAACAAGCUUCUGUUAUGCUAAAGUCAGUCCUAGUCAAUAAUCUACUGUGGGGAAGCAGCAACCAAAGAUCCCACGGGUUGCUCUGACUUGUACCUUACCUAAGAUUUCUCUUGAGUGGGUAUGUACAUGGAGCCCAGAGACACUCCAUAGGGUUGGGACAACACAACGUGCCUCUCCUACCUGUUGGCCUCCUUUUCCCCAUCUCAUUACAUAUAGGGGAAAUCAGAUUGAAAUUAACACCGAGGACCCCACAAAAGUUAAAGCAGAAACUAUAGGGUCGUGUAGGCAGAGUAUGUGGACAGAAGAAGGCGGAAAGCCAUUCCAGUUUCUCCUGGUGUUUAGGAGUACCUUGGAUGAUUAAGUUACUUUAUUUUCAAGGCUUCACUGGCCAAGCCCUCUUCUCCUCUAUGUGGGGGUGCUGCCAUGAACUAUCCAACAUGCUGCCUGUCGCACCCCUCCCAGCUCCACUCAGCAGCUCAGCCCCCUAUUCUGUGGAGAAGGUGCAGUGCAGAAUGAGAGAACUGCCUGGCCACUCAGCUGCCUAGACCAACAAGGCUCUUGUGUGCUGGUCCCAGACCAUUUCCGGAGACCAACAUAUGACAGAGCCACAACCUCCGGCCCCUCUGUCAGCUAUCUGCAGUUCCUCCUUUUUCUUUUCUUCUCCUAACCUCAUAAACAACGAUCGUUGAAGGUCCCACUAUCUACAGAUUCUGAGCCAAGAUUGGCUUUGGUUAAGAGGAAAUUCUCCGUUUUCUACAACAGUGGACAAAGGGUUUUAUUUUAUGAGUAGGAACUUUGCUUUCUCUAAUAUGGAUUAUUUAAUGUAUUUUUACUGUUCCUGCUUUUGUUCUCUAUAAUUAUAGUUCAUAGCAAAAUUGAUGUUACCCAAGAAAUAGACAAGGAACUUCUUGGUAAAGGAAGUAACCGAGGAGUUGAAAGCAGAGGCCCAAAAAGUAGUUCAGUUCUGCAUUCGAUUCCUUCCCUCAUUUGUAUGACCUCCCCGUCUAGAAAAAAAGAACAAUAGGAACAACAAAAUCAACAAAUUGUGUAACUCUGUUUCCCAACUUUCCUAAGAACAUUCAUGUUCCCUGUGCCACCCUUAUGACACACACAAUUCUUCACGGGAAACGUAAGCAAACAUAGAAAUCUGUUGUUACAAGCAGGUAGCUGUAGGCAUCUGCUGUCACCUCCCAAAGACAGGAAGAGCCCUCCUUUUUUUUGUUUUUUGUUUUUUUUGCUCAGGAAGAUUCACCCUGAGCUAACACGCAUUAUCAAUCUUCCUCUUUUUUUUGCUUGAGGAAGAUUAGCCCUGAGCUCACAUCUGUGCCAAUCCUCCUCUACUGUUUUAUAUGUGUGACACCUACACAGCAUCGUUGGUAACUGGAGUAGGUCUGUGCCCAGGAUCUGAACCCAUGAACCCAGGCUGCUGAAGCAGAGCAUGUGGAACUUUAACCAUCUGUCCACGGGGCCAGGCCCAGGAAGAGCUCUCUUUUGUCUAAAUGGCAGGUCCUAACCCUUCCCACUUUCUCCUCAGUAAGUUAAUGUCUAAAGGUGGUAUUUGGAAACAGUGGAGGAAAAGAUGGAUGAUCCAAUACAUGAUAUUGAGGCACCCAUAUAACCAUGUGGAAAAAAAUGCAUAUGAAGCAAAGAUUUAAACGUAAAAAUGAAAACAUAAAAGUACUAGGGGAGGGCUGGCCCAAUGGCGAAGCAGCUAUGUUCGCACGUUCCGCUUUGGCGGCCCGGGCUUCACUGGUUUGGAUCCUGGUUGCGGACAUGGCACCACUUGGCAAGCCAUGCUGUGGUAGGCAUCCCACAUAUAAAGCAGAGGAAGAUGGGCACAGAUGUUAGCUCAGGGCCAGCCUUCCUCAGCAAAAAGAGGAGGAUUGACAGCAGAU
rnacentral:lncRNA from 1 species